UUCCCCACAUGAAUUAUCAGAGGUGGAGGACGAAUGAUUGUCUUUUAUUAAAUCGUCAUGGAGAACAUACGCCCCGCCCGGGGAUCGAACUCGCGACCCCGAGAUUCGUAGACCAACGCUUUACCUACCGAGCUAAGCGUGUGGGCUUCAUUAGAAGUAAGUUUCCACUUCUACAUUUCUAUUCUAUUAUUAUAACUCGUAUCAAAAAUAGUGUUAUGUAUGCAUACAUUGGGCAUCAAAUUUGUUACAAUGACUGAGUGUAAGUCAUUUGAGCGGCUGACUUAAUCAAUAUCUUAUAUUAAAUGAUGUAUUCUUUUUUGAAUUUCUUCCGUCUUUAUUGUUGUUCAUUUGAUGAAAUAAAAUAAUAAAAGAAGACAAUGACCGUGUUCGUCUCUUGAGAUUAUAAUGUAGAUAAUCUUUGUAAAACGAAUUGCUAAGAUGCGUUUUACGUUUAUACACUUAAAAGUGCAAAAUAAACAUUGUUAACAAUCGCUUUUAUCUCUUUUAUAUGUACAUUGCCUUAUUGCAUUUUCAGAGAGAAACGGGGAAUCUAAACAGUUUAAAUUGCAGCAAUACAAACCGAGUCGUUUCUCUUUCACGAGAUAUAGAUUGAAGUUCGAAGAAUCAGAGAGAGCUGAACUUUGGAACAACCAAUUUGUGGUAUCAGCUGAAAUACUACAGACACUAGAAAACACAGUAAACGGGUCUUUACUUGUGAAAUAUUUCCAUGUGUGGAACAAUCCAAUGUUGACGUUGUGCAUGGCGUGCCUGCUUCUCCUGGUACUACUGACCAUUGUCUGCCUCAUAUUGUUUAUUGCAACAUCCGGAAAAGCGAAAGUUAAAGGGUUUUAGCCAGUUGAAUAUGCACUUGCUAUUGGCCUUCCGACGUUGUUUUUGUUAUUUGUGAUCAACGUGAUUGUCAAUUUAUACACUGAUAUUAAUAGGAAAGGUAUACACAGCGUAUACACAAAGGCAGGCAGAAUUUUGGACGCUGACAUUUGGAAAAUUAGCAAGCAAAACAACUCGCAAACCGGAGUGAUAUUCUUCUUAAAGGAUGAUGACAUCUUUAAACCUGUAUCCUUUUCUGUAACAAAAGCAGCAACAACAAGUGUAAUACUAGCAUGAA
rnacentral:lncRNA from 1 species